UACAGAGGGUGCUAGCGUUGUUCGGAAUUAUUGGGCGUAAAGCGCUUGUAGGCGGCGUGUUAAGUCCCGUGUGAAAUCCCUCGGCUCAACUGAGGAAGUGCGCGGGAAACUGGCAUGCUUGAGUCCUGGAGAGGGUCGCGGAAUUCCCGGUGUAGAGGUGAAAUUCGUAGAUAUCGGGAGGAACACCAGUGGCGAAGGCGGCGACCUGGACAGAGACUGACGCUGAGACGCGAAAGCGUGGGGAGCAAACAGG
rnacentral:rRNA from 1 species